rnacentral:rRNA from 1 species
GUGGCAGCCGCCGCGGUAAUACCGGCAGCCCGAGUGAUGGCCGAUGUUAUUGGGCCUAAAGCGUCCGUAGCUGGCCAUGCAAGUCCACUGGGAAAUCCACCCGCUCAACGGGUGGCCGUCCGGUGGAACCUGUGUGGCUUGGGACCGGAAGGCGCGAAGGGUACGUUCGGGGUAGGAGUGAAAUCCCAUAAUCCCGCACGGACCACCGAUGGCGAAAGCACUUCGAGAAAACGGAUCCGACAGUGAGGGACGAAAGCCAGGGUCUCCAACCGGAUUAGAAACCCCAGUAGUCC